GGAGGCGUACCGAAGUGGCCGUAACGGGGCGCUCUCGAAAAGCGUUUGUCGGGUAACCGACACGUGGGUUCGAAUCCCACCGCCUCCGCCA
rnacentral:tRNA from 2 species